rnacentral:rRNA from 1 species
UACGGAGGGGGCGAGCGUUAUUCGGAAUUAUUGGGCGUAAAGGGCGCGUAGGCGGCCCGGUAAGUCAAAGGUGAAAUCCCUCGGCUCAACUGAGGAACUGCCUUUGAAACUGUCGGGCUUGAGGCCGGGAGGGGGUAGCGGAAUUCCCAGUGUAGCGGUGAAAUGCGUAGAUAUUGGGAGGAACACCAGUGGCGAAGGCGGCUACCUGGACCGGUUCUGACGCUGAGGCGCGAAAGCGUGGGUAGCAAACAGG